UACGGGGGGGGCAAGCGUUGUUCGGAUUUACUGGGCGUAAAGGGCGCGUAGGAGGGUGGACAAGUCUCUCGUGAAAGCCCACGGCUCAACCAUAGAAGUGCGGGAGAUACUGUCUGUCUUGAGUCCGGGAGAGGAUGGUGUAAUUCCCAGUGUAGCGGUGAAAAGCGUAGAUAUUGAGAGGAACACCGGUGGCGAAGGCGGCUCUCUGGACCGGUACUGACGCUGAGGCGCGAAAGCUAGGGCAGUAAACGGG
rnacentral:rRNA from 1 species